UACGAAGGGGGCUAGCGUUGCUCGGAAUCACUGGGCGUAAAGCGCACGUAGGCGGCUUUCUAAGUCAGGGGUGAAAUCCUGGAGCUCAACUCCAGAACUGCCUUUGAUACUGGAGUGCUUGAGUCCGGGAGAGGUGAGUGGAACUGCGAGUGUAGAGGUGAAAUUCGUAGAUAUUCGCAAGAACACCAGUGGCGAAGGCGGCUCACUGGCCCGAUACUGACGCUGAGGCACGAAAGCGUGGGGAGCAAACAGG
rnacentral:rRNA from 1 species